CUGUCAAUUCGCGCCAAAAACAAACACGAACACUGUCAGCAGUUUCUCAUAGAAACGCAAGCAAAGUAGAAUGAAAGUAGAAUGAAAUGAGUGCAGCAGGUAAAAUAGAAGCAAAAAAUAUGUGCACAAAAAAAUUAAUAACAAACAAGAAAGCCGGCAUAUUGGAAUACCCAUGCACGUACACUAUUAUAUAACUACUAACAAAUAUUCAGUGAGUGCUGUGUGCGCUGUGAAAAAGCCGGUAGAAAAUAAAAUAGGAAUUCGUCAUAAGUUGUUAAGCAAAACAAUUGCAUGUGUUGUCGGGAGAGGAGUGGGUGAGAAAUCGCACAGCGCUAAAUGUCGCUAAUUCGUAUGCACUUACGAAUGUGAUGUGCGCAGGAGAGCAAAGUGCAGCGGAUCAAGUUGAAUAGCAAUAAAAAAAAUAGUUUGCACGCUAAUACAGAUUUAGACACUUGUACGAUAGUAAUAGAAAUGUAAUGCGCAACUAUAAAACAGCGACACGUACAGACUCGGCGCGUGCACUGCCUAUACGUGGAUAUUAAAAUCAAGUCAGAGAUUUAGCAAUUGUCUUAAUAGUUUUUAACACGCUCAAAUUUAUAUGCAAAAUUGGCUGGAAAGUGUGAAAAUUAUAAAUCGCAUCUUUGGAAUAUAUUCUAUAGUGAAAGCUGAAUUUAACGCUGUUCUUAACUGGCUUUGUGCUUUCAUGUGUGAUUGAGGCUUAGUGCCAUUGUGGAAUAAUCAGCUGAUAUGUGCUUGUCAUAAAGACAUCAAAAAAGGAAUCACUAGAACCAGCAGGAAAUUUUUUGGAACAGAAGUAAUCGCUCGUAGAAAGUUAACAUCAUCAUUUGAUUUCAUCAACAUUUAGUAAGUCAUCAUCAAAUCACUAGAUGCAAAUUUGCACGAGUAUAAAAAGUGAAAUGCGUCGUAAUACCGUGUUAUAUGAAUAUUACGUAAGAAAUGGCCUUUGUAUCCCGACUGCCGAUUUCAGCAAAAACACAUAAAAUGUAUAGGAUCCAGUUCACAGAUAUAGUGAGUGAAAACGUCUUUUUUGAGCGAAGCUCCCUGAGAUCAGCUGUAGUACCUUUCAAAAUAAAUAUUUUUCCUAAUACUAAGUCUUAAAAUACAGUUAAAAUAUACAAUAUGUGUACAAAUUUUUGGAUCAAUAAAUUUAAGUUUUCGGCGAGCUAGCCUUUGGAUGGAUAAAAUCCGGGUAAAUUCCGGUAAUGUAGAGCCGGCUAUCUUCGGAAACCCUACUCAUCUGAAACCCCGUCGAAACAGCGCGUUUCCUGUGCCUACCGUUGGUUGACCUCGAUGACAACUUAUCUAAACCUCACCACCCUAACGGGGACUAGAUAACCGUAACAACAACAACAACUACUACUAAGAACUACACGACUAGCUAAUGAACCAAAAGAUAAUGGUGCCUUCCAGCGAGUUAUGUUUAGCUAAGAAUCGCCAUCGAUCAGAUGGAAAGACCACUGUAGCGGCAGAAUUACAACCAGCUACACCAACAACACAUAUCAUCACUGUACUCAACUUAAAAUUCAUUGAUCAUAUGGUAUAAUUCUACUUGGUACACAUGUAUAUAUCAAUCAAUUAGAAGGAUUUAUGUUGUUUUAUAUACUUUUAUAAACAAAUUUAUCUACAAAAGCCCAACAAUUUUUUUUAGUGCAUUGACAUUUGUAUUACCGAAUUUUUUUUACUUAAACGCGAUAAGAUAUUGUGCAAAAAAAGAAGAACCGUCUAAUCAAGGUGACAUUUAUUUUGCCUAGUCAUGGUCUGGUCUGCGCAGUCACACAAAAAAUACAAUACAAAAUACAAAAAUGCGAAAAAUAUAAAAAUACAGUGUAUACAAUAGAUUGAAAUAUGUAUGUAUGUAUCUAUCAAAACUAAAAACAUACAAAUUUACUAUAAUAGUAAUAUGAAAUAAAAAAAAAAUCAAGAACAUUUUUUUUUAUUUCACAUUAGAAUUGUCCCCUUACAGUCACAGUUUAACUUUAGAGGUUUUUCUUAAAACUUUAUAAAAUUGUGUUAGGCAGUUAUGUUAUGCAUACGUACAUAUUUUAAUCAUCUGUAUUAUUUGAUAAGAUUAUCAAAUUUGCGUUAUAAAUAACGAAAGCUAUUAUAAUGGAAAAAUAUUUAUAUCAUAAAUUCAGAGAUAAUAAUCAAUGGCAAAACAAAGAAUGCACAACAUGCUAACAUUUGUUUGAAAAAUGUA
rnacentral:lncRNA from 1 species